CAGGCUUAACACAUGCAAGUCGAGGGGCAUCAGUUUGGUUUGCUUGCAAACCAAAGCUGGCGACCGGCGCACGGGUGAGUAACACGUAUCCAACCUGCCUCAUACUCGGGGAUAGCCUUUCGAAAGAAAGAUUAAUAUCCGAUAGCAUAUAUUUCCCGCAUGGGUUUUAUAUUAAAGAAAUUCGGUAUGAGAUGGGGAUGCGUUCCAUUAGUUUGUUGGGGGGGUAACGGCCCACCAAGACUACGAUGGAUAGGGGUUCUGAGAGGAAGGUCCCCCACAUUGGAACUGAGACACGGUCCAAACUCCUACGGGAGGCAGCAGUGAGGAAUAUUGGUCAAUGGACGCGAGUCUGAACCAGCCAAGUAGCGUGAAGGAUGACUGCCCUAUGGGUUGUAAACUUCUUUUAUAUGGGAAUAAAGUGGUCCACGUGUGGACUUUUGUAUGUACCAUAUGAAUAAGGAUCGGCUAACUCCGUGCCAGCAGCCGCGGUAAUACGGAGGAUCCGAGCGUUAUCCGGAUUUAUUGGGUUUAAAGGGAGCGUAGGCGGAUUGUUAAGUCAGCUGUGAAAGUUUGCGGCUCAACCGUAAAAUUGCAGUUGAUACUGGCAGUCUUGAGUGCAGUAGAGGUGGGCGGAAUUCGUGGUGUAGCGGUGAAAUGCUUAGAUAUCACGAAGAACUCCGAUUGCGAAGGCAGCUCACUGGAGUGUAACUGACGCUGAUGCUCGAAAGUGUGGUAUCAAACAGG
rnacentral:rRNA from 1 species